CGAGGCACUACGGUGCUGAAGCAACAAAUGCCCUGCUUCCAGGAAAAGCCUCUAAGCAUCAGGUAACAUCAAAUCGUACCCCAAACCGACACAGGUGGUCAGGUAGAGAAUACCAAGGCGCUUGAGAGAACUCGGGUGAAGGAACUAGGCAAAAUGGUGCCGUAACUUCGGGAGAAGGCACGCUGACACGUAGGUGAAGUGAUUUACUCAUGGAGCUGAAGUCAGUCGAAGAUACCAGCUGGCUGCAACUGUUUAUUAAAAACACAGCACUGUGCAAACACGAAAGUGGACGUAUACGGUGUGACGCCUGCCCGGUGCCGGAAGGUUAAUUGAUGGGGUCAGCGCAAGCGAAGCUCCUGAUCGAAGCCCCGGUAAACGGCGGCCGUAACUAUAACGGUCCUAAGGUAGCGAAAUUCCUUGUCGGGUAAGUUCCGACCUGCACGAAUGGCGUAAUGAUGGCCAGGCUGUCUCCACCCGAGACUCAGUGAAAUUGAACUCGCUGUGAAGAUGCAGUGUACCCGCGGCAAGACGGAAAGACCCCGUGAACCUUUACUAUAGCUUGACACUGAACAUUGAGCCUUGAUGUGUAGGAUAGGUGGGAGGCUUUGAAGUGUGGACGCCAGUCUGCAUGGAGCCGACCUUGAAAUACCACCCUUUAAUGUUUGAUGUUCUAACGUGGACCCGUUACCCGGGUUGCGGACAGUGUCUGGUGGGUAGUUUGACUGGGGCGGUCUCCUCCUAAAGAGUAACGGAGGAGCACGAAGGUUGGCUAAUCCUGGUCGGACAUCAGGAGGUUAGUGCAAUGGCAUAAGCCAGCUUGACUGCGAGCGUGACGGCGCGAGCAGGUGCGAAAGCAGGUCAUAGUGAUCCGGUGGUUCUGAAUGGAAGGGCCAUCGCUCAACGGAUAAAAGGUACUCCGGGGAUAACAGGCUGAUACCGCCCAAGAGUUCAUAUCGACGGCGGUGUUUGGCACCUCGAUGUCGGCUCAUCACAUCCUGGGGCUGAAGUAGGUCCCAAGGGUAUGGCUGUUCGCCAUUUAAAGUGGUACGCGAGCUGGGUUUAGAACGUCGUGAGACAGUUCGGUCCCUAUCUGCCGUGGGCGCUGGAGAACUGAGGGGGGCUGCUCCUAGUACGAGAGGACCGGAGUGGACGCAUCACUGGUGUUCGGGUUGUCAUGCCAAUGGCACUGCCCGGUAGCUAAAUGCGGAAGAGAUAAGUGCUGAAAGCAUCUAAGCACGAAACUUGCCCCGAGAUGAGUUCUCCCUGAGACUUAGAGUCUCCUGAAGGAACGUUGAAGACGACGACGUUGAUAGGCCGGGUGUGUAAGCGCAGCGAUGCGUUGAGCUAACC
rnacentral:rRNA from 1 species